UACGUAGGGUGCGAGCGUUGUCCGGAAUUAUUGGGCGUAAAGGGCUCGUAGGCGGUUUGUCACGUCGGGAGUGAAAACUCGGGGCUUAACCCCGAGCCUGCUUCCGAUACGGGCAGACUAGAGGUAUGCAGGGGGAGAACGGAAUUCCUGGUGUAGCGGUGAAAUGCGUAGAUAUCUGGAGGAACACCGGUGGCGAAGGCGGCAUUCUGGACCGAAACUGACGCUGAGGCGCGAAAGCCAGGGGAGCAAACGGGG
rnacentral:rRNA from 1 species